GUGCCAGCCGCCGCGGUAAUACGGAGGGUGCGAGCGUUGUUCGGAAUCACUGGGCGUAAAGCGCGUGUAGGCGGCUUCUUAAGUCCGAUGUGAAAGCCCGGGGCUCACCCCCGGAAGUGCAUUGGAUACUGGGAAGCUGGAGUACCGGAGAGGAGGGUGGAAUUCCUGGUGUAGCGGUGAAAUGCGUAGAUAUCAGGAGGAACACCUGUGGCGAAGGCGGCCCUCUGGACGGAUACUGACGCUGAGACGCGAAAGCGUGGGGAGCAAACAGGAUUAGAAACCCCUGUAGUCC
rnacentral:rRNA from 1 species